ACACGUGACCUAAACCUAGGUACAAAUGCAGUCACUGGAGUGACCCUGAUGCCAAGGUUAACUUGUGUUUGGAAGAGAAUCUGCCAGAGAGGCCAUAGCUCUCCUGGCUUUGCUACUUUUGAUGCGUGACACUUGCCUGGAGCCUAAGCUCCUGGGCUGGAGACUAGAUCUGUACAGGGUAUUUGAGAUCAGACUCCAAUCUGUGAAACACUGAAUAUUGCAGGUUUUCAUGUAGAGCCCGGUAGGAGUCCAUCAAAGAGUUCACUUCUGUUGCUGCCAUUCUAGCAAGGUUGGAAAAACAGAUCACAUCCAAGCCUUAGGAGCACAUUUCCAGUUUCCCGCCCACCUGUAUCCCAGCAAGACAUCACAUGGGGCUAAAAGUUAACUCGAGUUGCUGAAACUCUGCAUUUACAUCUGUAAAUUUCUGCAUCCUGUUUAAUUAAUGUAAGAUUUUAUUUUUGUACUUUGCCA